rnacentral:rRNA from 1 species
UUAAGUCCCGCAACGAGCGCAACCCCUGUUGUUAGUUGCCAUCAUUAAGUUGGGCACUCUAGCGAGACUGCCGGUGAUAAAUCGGAGGAAGGUGGGGACGACGUCAAAUCAUCAUGCCCCUUAUGUCCUGGGCUACACACGUACUACAAUGGCUAUUACAGAGGGAAGCGAAACCGCGAGGUGGAGCAAAUCUCCAAAAAUAGUCCCAGUUCAGAUUGUAGGCUGAAACUCGCCUACAUGAAGUCGGAAUUGCUAGUAAUGGCAGGUCAGCAUACUGCCGCGAAUACGUUCCCGGGCCUU